rnacentral:rRNA from 1 species
UGGUUUGANNAUGGCUCAGGAUGAACGCUAGCUACAGGCUUAACACAUGCAAGUCGAGGGGCAGCAUGGUCUUAGCUUGCUAAGGCCGAUGGCGACCGGCGCACGGGUGAGUAACACGUAUCCAACCUGCCGUCUACUCUUGGACAGCCUUCUGAAAGGAAGAUUAAUACAAGAUGGCAUCAUGAGUCCGCAUGUUCACAUGAUUAAAGGUAUUCCGGUAGACGAUGGGGAUGCGUUCCAUUAGAUAGUAGGCGGGGUAACGGCCCACCUAGUCUUCGAUGGAUAGGGGUUCUGAGAGGAAGGUCCCCCACAUUGGAACUGAGACACGGUCCAAACUCCUACGGGAGGCAGCAGUGAGGAAUAUUGGUCAAUGGGCGAGAGCCUGAACCAGCCAAGUAGCGUGAAGGAUGACUGCCCUAUGGGUUGUAAACUUCUUUUAUAAAGGAAUAAAGUCGGGUAUGGAUACCCGUUUGCAUGUACUUUAUGAAUAAGGAUCGGCUAACUCCGUGCCAGCAGCCGCGGUAAUACGGAGGAUCCGAGCGUUAUCCGGAUUUAUUGGGUUUAAAGGGAGCGUAGAUGGAUGUUUAAGUCAGUUGUGAAAGUUUGCGGCUCAACCGUAAUAUUGCAGUUGAUACUGGAUAUCUUGAGUGCAGUUGAGGCAGGCGGAAUUCGUGGUGUAGCGGUGAAAUGCUUAGAUAUCACGAAGAACUCCGAUUGCGAAGGCAGCCUGCUAAGCUGCAACUGACAUUGAGGCUCGAAAGUGUGGGUAUCAAACAGGAUUAGAUACCCUGGUAGUCCACACGGUAAACGAUGAAUACUCGCUGUUUGCGAUAUACUGCAAGCGGCCAAGCGAAAGCGUUAAGUAUUCCACCUGGGGAGUACGCCGGCAACGGUGAAACUCAAAGGAAUUGACGGGGGCCCGCACAAGCGGAGGAACAUGUGGUUUAAUUCGAUGAUACGCGAGGAACCUUACCCGGGCUUAAAUUGCAGAUGAAUUACGGUGAAAGCCGUAAGCCGCAAGGCAUCUGUGAAGGUGCUGCAUGGUUGUCGUCAGCUCGUGCCGUGAGGUGUCGGCUUAAGUGCCAUAACGAGCGCAACCCUUGUCGUCAGUUACUAACAGGUUCCGCUGAGGACUCUGACAAGACUGCCAUCGUAAGAUGUGAGGAAGGUGGGGAUGACGUCAAAUCAGCACGGCCCUUACGUCCGGGGCUACACACGUGUUACAAUGGGGGGUACAGAGGGCCGCUACCACGCGAGUGGAUGCCAAUCCCAAAAACCUCUCUCAGUUCGGACUGGAGUCUGCAACCCGACUCCACGAAGCUGGAUUCGCUAGUAAUCGCGCAUCAGCCACGGCGCGGUGAAUACGUUCCCGGGCCUUGUACACACCGCCCGUCAAGCCAUGGGAGCCGGGGGUACCUGAAGUGCGUAACCGCGAGGAGCGCCCUAGGGUAAAACUGGUGACUGGGGCUAAGUCGUAACAAGGUACCC